rnacentral:rRNA from 1 species
AAUGAACGUUGGCGGCAUGGAUUAGGCAUGCAAGUCGAGCGAGAAGUGUAGCAAUACACGGAAAGCGGCGGAAGGGAGAGUAAUACGUGGGAAUCUGCCCUUAGACCUGGGAUAGCAGCGGGAAACUGCUGGUAAUACCAGAUAAUGUCUAUGGACCAAAGGUGUGAUUCCGUCUAGGGAUGAGCCCACGUCCUCUUAGCUAGUUGGUAGGGUAACGGCCCACCGAGGCGAAGAUGGGUACCGGGCGUGAGAGCGUGACCCGGCUCACGGGGACUGGUACACUGCCCAGACACCUACGGGUGGCUGCAGUCGAGAGUCUUCGGCAAUGAGCGCAAGCUUGACCGAGCGACGCCGCGUGCGGGAUGAAGGCUUUCGGGUUGUAAACCGCUGUCAGUGGGGAGGAAAUUCUUGGGGGCGCUCCCCCUUGAUUGACCGAUCCGCAGAGGAAGGACGGGCUAAGUUCGUGCCAGCCGCCGCAGUAAAAC